rnacentral:snRNA from 1 species
AGCUUUGCGCAGUGGCGGUACCAUAGCCAAUGAGGAAUUUCCGAGGCGUGGUUAUUGCUAGUUGAAAACUAUACCCAAUACCCCGCACUGACGACUUAAUAGAAAACUUCUUCUACGGAAG